rnacentral:lncRNA from 1 species
CUUCAGUACAUGAAUGAAUACAUAAACUAUGGUACAUUCAGACAAUGGAACAUUCAGUAAGGAAAAGAAAUGAGCUAUCAAGCUACCAAAAAGGAAGAACAGAAGAAUAUUAAGUGCGUAUUGGUUAGUAUAUGGUUCCAAGAAGUAGAUGAAAGCCAAUUACAAUAAUCUGUGCAUCCAAAGGGCUCAGGGAAACUCCAGGACCGGCAGCUUUAGACUUCAAGACGGAAGCAUAAGAGGAAAAGAAAACAUACUGCGUGGGUUAGAUUUUGAGAGAAGGAGCGUCUGCCUUGGCCAAAAAUCAAAGUAGGUCUGACAAAGCGUCCGAGGAAUGAAGGAGGAACUGGAGAGGAUUCGCGGUUGGGCGGAGACACGUUCGCUGAAUUGCCUUGCGUAUAUUUGGUAGGGGAAACGUGUGACUACAGAGCAAAGAAAGAUGGACAAUAGCGAGUAACUUCACAGGGAUUUCCUAAGAGCUCCAUUUUCACGUCAAUUCCUCGUUAGUAUAGUGGCUUCAGAACUUCAGUCAUCCAAAGACACCAUCAACAAUGUAAAAAGGCAAAGCACAGAAUAGAAGAAGAUAUUUGUAAUACAUAUUUAUGACAAAGGAUUCAUGUCUAGUGUGAUGGUUAAUACUGAGUGUCGAUUUGAUUGGAUUGAAGGAUGCAAUAUUGAUCCUGGGUGUGUCUGUCAGGGU